GAGUUGUUAGGGGAGCCGUAAAUCUGGAGGAUGACCAUCACUCUACCAACAAGGAUUGUAAGUUUGUUUUAACCUAACAAAGUGGAAAUAAAGGGCUUAAAAAUAAGACAAACUACAUGUUUGUUACCAGACGUUAUGGCCAGACUUGCGCUGUUUGUUCCAGACCAGGACUUUGGCUGAGGAGAGCUGAUGGAGGAGCCAAGACUCUGGAGGACAUCACUCUACCAACCAGGAUCCUCACCAGGAAUCUGGAGGACUGAUGGAGAAGCCGUACAUCUGGAAGGCAAAUCCUGAGGACAACCAGGACUCUACCAUCAAGGAUUCCUCAUAAGUUUGCAUUAUCUGGACAUAGUGGACUAGACACACCUGAGCUGAACCUCACCUGAUCCUGUUUGGUCGGGGGCAGACACACCUGAGCUGAACCCACCCUGAUCCUGACAUCCUGCUGGUCCCGUCUCCUCAGUUCAUCUGAGCCUCGUCCUCGAGAGGACCUGCUGAGCUCAGUGGUCUGAGGCUGAUGAAUCAAUGACCUCCAGUGGGAGUGAUCUUCUUGACCCCACAUGUACCCGUGUGCUUCCACACGCCUUUCCUUCAUGUCUGUCACUAACCUCACUACUUGACAACUCUCUACUCCUUCCCCUUCUUCCUUCUCCGUGGUUCGAACCUUUACACUGAAGGCGCGUCUUCCUGCCCUCAGAGGGUUCAGCGUUAGGGUUGAGAGUCAGGGUUUAGAGUCAGGGACAGAGCUGGUCAGGGAGGACUGCUUUUACACAAACCUCUUCACUUGCAUUCGGAAUGGUGGUGACAUUUUGAAAAGAUUAAUUUGGGAAAAUGUUUUCCUCUGCUUUCCUUUACAAAAUUGUAUUAAACGUCUGUCAAGUGUUUUUGUUUAUAUAUUAAAAUCCCACAUUGACUUCUA